rnacentral:misc_RNA from 1 species
AGAAUAGGUUAUUGGUCUAACUAUUCUGGUCUCUCAGUUGCCGCGCCUGAAUUUUUCUAUGGAAAGCCGCCAAACAUUUCCAGCAGUAGUCAACAACUAUAUGGUGUCAUUUGGCCUGGUGAAACCACGACAAAACCCCGUGGUUGGGUGUUCCCGAACAAUGGAAAAGCUCUGAGGAUCGGAGUUCCUAACCGAGCAAGCUAGAAGG